ensembl:misc_RNA Metazoa_SRP Metazoan signal recognition particle RNA
GCUUGGUGGCGUGUGCCUGUAGUCCCAGCUACUCAGGAGGCAAAGGUGGUAGGAUCACUGGAGCCAAGGAGUUCUGGACUUUACUGUGCUAUGUCAAUCGGGUGUCUGCACUAAGUUUGGCAUCAAUAUGGUGACCUCCUGGGAGCAGGAGAACACCAGGUUGCCUAAGGAGGGGUGAACCAGCUCAGGUGGGAAAUGGAGCAGGUCAAAACUCUUGUGCUGAUCAGUAGUGGGAUCGUGCCUGUGAAUAGCCAAUGCACUCCAGCAUGGGCAACACAGCAAGACCCUGCCUCUC